rnacentral:lncRNA from 1 species
AGACCAGCUACCCCACCAAGUACAUACAUCCCCGCUGCCUUGAACAACUUCUUGGCUGUGGUGUCAGUGAGCCUGUGAGACUCCAGCUCAGUGACCCAGCAGGACAGGAUGAGUUUGACAAGCUGAGGGCCCUGUGCUGUACCAACGCAGACAUCUUACAGCUCUGCUUCAGUGUGGUGAGCCCCACCUCUUUUCAAAACAUCAGGAGAAGUGGGUGCCAGAUAUCCAGUGCCACUGCCCCAAAGCUCCCAUCAUCUUGGUGGAGAUGCAGUUAGACCUCAGAGAAGAUGUCCAAGUGCUCAUCUAGCUGGAAAAAGGCAGGGAGAAGCCCGUGGCUGAGGAGGCAGCCAAGCUGUGGGGCCCAGGAAAUCAAAGAUGCCUCCUACAUGAAGUGUCCAGCCUUGACU